rnacentral:lncRNA from 1 species
UUUUAGAAGCUUUCGGCUGCUGCGUGCUACUCUCGUUCAGUAGUCUGCGUUUAACACAUUGCCCAUCCACACCGCCUGACGAGCAAUUCACCUCAAAACCAUGAGGCUGCAAGAUACGCAGCAAAACGGCAAUCAAGCCACAUAUAUGAGGAAGCACUCUGGCUCUCAGACAGUCCAGAAACGGGCCUCCAUGACCACAGAGUACCAGGAGAGGUUCCUUUCCCCACUCUGCUACAAGGCUAUCGUCUCAGCCCCAUCACAUAAAGGCCCUUACCAUGCACUGAAAGGGACGAGUGCAGAUGUGAGAUCAUACUAUUUGGUCCAAAAAAGGAUCCCAAAGGCCCCGCAGCCAUCUUUGCCACCCGUAGGCCACCGGUGUAGCAACCCCCUACAUAAUCAUACACGCUUAGUCGCAAACCAAAUGGCAUCCCAGUUGGAGGACAACACAUCAGUUCACCAAAGUAAACAAUUUGAAGAUGAUUUCAGAGCAUGGAAAGCAAACAAGUGCAGCUCCCAGAAAACUUCUGUUCAAGUUGCACCUAACUCUAAACCAGUCCCAAAGGGCCUGAAGACGGACGUGCAGAGCCUCCCCACGUUGCAGGAUCCCCCUGGCAAUGGAGUCAGAGUCCUUUUUGAGUAGGGUGAGACGCCGCACAGAGGUGCCAAAGCGUUCGUUAUGUGUGCUCAGACGCGCCACCUCUAAGUGUAGAAAGGAGAUAUCCUUGCGUAUGGAGUGGGCCUCUCUCAGGAUGUCGUCAAUAGGUGAGGAGUCCUCAAACACCACUGCCUGCUGGGGAAAAGUCUCCUUGUCUACAUCAUAGUCGGCUCCAAAAAACUCUGGCUCGCAGUCCUCCUGCUCCUCCCUAAUGGUCUGCAGCCUCUCCAACAAGUCCCGCAUUCUGCCUGAGAGACCAGUGCAAAACAAUGUGUUGGUUAUUGUGCUCAUCUCUAGUCUAGCUUUUGGUCUGAUGUAGUGUUGAAACAAUUCCAGGUGUUUAAGACAUUCAAAUAGAUACAAUUUAUAAUGCAAAAUUAGUAUCACAUGUGUUCUACAAGUUGGGUUGUAGGUCUCUUUUUAAUGGUAUAACCCUCCUCAUAGUGAUGAAAUGCAGUGUUUCCCAAAUUAUAAAAAGGUUGUCAUUUUCCCUUCAAG